AAUCUGUUCCAAUUAUUUUUAAAUGUAAUCUUACAAACAAGAAAUGUAUACUGAAGAAAUGAAGGACCAAACCUUUUAGUUAUUAGCUUUCAAAUAUGCUAGGAGAUGAUUCAAUGAAAUUAUAGGACAACAAAUAAAGGAAUCAGAUUGCACGUAAUGAGUAAAAGCCAGUGUAUUACCACUUAUGCACUCAGAUAAGAACUUGAAAUCAAGCCUGAUAAACCACCAUAUCUUUCUUUUAGAUUUAGUCAACAACCACUUUAUUCUCAGUGCAAUAUCGAGAGGACAGAAAUGUCAAGUCCUAGCAAAUGUGUUUAUGAUGUCAAGAAUGGGCCUGCACAUACCCUUCACGGAAGAUUUGGUUGGUGAGGAACUUUAGCAAUAUCCAAGCAUCCUUAUUUCGAGGAUGGCUAAUAUCCCCAACAGGAAACUCAUGCGCCUUACCAUCCAACUCUAUAAUACUCAUUCCAGGGAACUUUUUAAUUCCUUUCUCAUUCAUCAACCUCCUUACUUUUGUCACAUCAGUCCAUCUUUGGUUAGAAGCAUAGAUAUUAGAGAGGAGCACGUAAACCCCACUAUAUUGAGACUCAAGCUCUAUGAGGUGGUCUAGUACAUGUUGAGAGAGAUGCGAAAUUCCUUUAGCCUUGCAAGCACUCAGAAUAGCUCCCAUUAUAAGAACAUCAGGUGACAUAGGCAUAGUUUUUACCAGAAGUAAAGCUUCAUCCAAGAGUCCAGCCCUGCAAAGCAAAUCUACCAUGCAUCCAUAAUAUUCUAACCUUGGAGAAAUAUUAUACUGACAGCUUAUCAUUUGAUGAAAGUAUUUACAUCCUUCAUCUACCAACCCAGACUGGCAACAAGCUGUCAAAAUGGCAAGAAAUGUCACCUCAUUGGGCAUCAUGCCCACCCUUAUCAUUUCUCCAAAAAGUUUCAGUGCCUCAGAUCCAUGUCCAUGCAUUACCAACCCAUUUAGCAAAGCAUUCCAUUCUUAAUGGGCAUCCCAUUGAAGGUCUGCAUUGCAAUAUCUAUAAGGCCACAUUUUGCAUAAAUAUCAACCAUAGCAGUUCCAAUCUGAAUAUCCCAUUUGAUUGCCCUUCGAUCCUGUACUCAUGUACCCAUCUGCCAUAAUCAAGAACACCAGUGGCAGCACAAGCUGAAAGCACACUAUAAAACAACUCCAAAGACUCCUUGGGACGUUUACAUUGAACCAAUCCGCUUAUAAUACUGGUUCAAGAAAUAAUAUAUUUCUGAGGAAGCUCAACAUAAAUUUGCUUGGCUUCACUCAAACACUCACACUUAGCAAGUUAGCAUACAUGUCAAUGAAAGCAUUGCCGGCCUCCAAACCUACCUCUAACGCUCGCUUAAAAAUCAACCCAUGAAUUCCGCUCCCUACACUCAGAUAUCUCUUUCUCCCACAGGCAACUAACACACUUACAAAUGAUGCGAUAUUUGCCUCAACGUCCAUCCUCAAAAACAGAGUUACAGCCCAGAUAUGAUACUGGUCCAAGAGACGACAUCUCUCACGAGCAUCUCAUCAAACACUCUGCCAGCGCCACAAUCACAACAAAUACUGUAAAAAUGAAGAAGCGAGUUUUGCUCAUAGAUAUCAAUUACAAGACCCAUCUUAACAACAACCUCAUGAAUCUACCUUACCACUCCAAUGCCCAUAAACUUAGAGAACGAUUUCAAAACCGCAGGUAAAGUGUACAUAUCGGGCAAAAACCCAUUUCUCACAAUCUGCCUAUAACCCAAAAUUGCUCUCUGUGGCCUAACAAUGUCAGCAUAGCUAGAUAUCAAACUAUUAAAAGGGAAUGAGCUUAAGCGCCAAUCACAUGGUUUCAAAAAACCACAAGCGUAAUAAAAAGAACCACCAGAUUUUCCAAAGAAGCCAACAAAUCUGUUGACAACUAAGUCAUUGCGAACAAUCCCUAAGUAAUUAACUGCGCAUGAAUUGUUUUGAAAGAUUGCAAGUUGUUGCAUCUACGAAUGCAAUCCAAAAGAACCCAUUUCAAAAGAUAUGGCCUAAUCUGGCUCAUUGUAGUUGCAUUUGCACUAUUCCCAUCUUCAAGCAGCAAAAAUCUCCGCAAUUUGUUUGACAUAUACAUGCAGAUAAAUGCACCUUAGAAGUCCUCGUACAAACUCGAUAUUGCGAGAGUCACAACUCCAUGAUUUCGUGGAACACAGAGAUUUAAAUUACAAGGGAAUAGAAGCGGUUAAGUAGUAUUACUAUAAGCAGAGAAUGAGAAUAUGUGAGGAAGAGGAGCUUUUUCUCAAGUUCCAUAACGCGCGUGGUGUAUUCUCUGUGAAUUUUCCAAAUGUGAUGUCUGAGAAGUGAGGAGUCU
rnacentral:misc_RNA from 1 species